UACGUAGGGUGCAAGCGUUGUCCGGAAUUAUUGGGCGUAAAGAGCUCGUAGGCGGUCUGUCGCGUCUGCUGUGAAAACUCAGGGCUUAACCCUGAGCUUGCAGUGGGUACGGGCAGACUAGAGUGCGGUAGGGGAGACUGGAAUUCCUGGUGUAGCGGUGAAAUGCGCAGAUAUCAGGAGGAACACCGGUGGCGAAGGCGGCGACCUGGUCCUUGACUGACG
rnacentral:rRNA from 1 species